UUAUCAUCAUCAUCAUAUCUCUCUCUCUCUCUCUCUCUCUCUCCUCCCCCUCCCCCCCUUGGAGGGACUGUCGUCCCUUGUGGAAAACAACAAGGAACUCCUCGGCUCCUUGCUUCCCCCCCCAAAUCUCUUUUUUUGUUGUUGUUGGCCACUGGUGGUCACUGCAUAUGGUCCUCGGUGAUAUACUCUUGCCCAUCACCCCUUCAAAACGCACAAGGACGGGACGAAAUGGCAUAGAUCCUGUAUUACGAAGGCAUUUUAAUAAAAAGAUUGUGAUGACAUCAGUGCCUCACCAGCCAUAAACCACCGCACGUCGCUGAUAGUGGCAUAUAAAGAUGUGUUUUUUGUUUUAAUCUGAACUGGCACCACAACUGAAUACAGGGUUGUUGCAAAUUGUCAAGAACUGUAUUAUCAAAAUUCUCCAGCAUUGUUUAAUGGGAUGCCUGCAAAAUGAAGACCAAACGGACGGAACCGAUGAAGCAAGCCUUAUUAAAAGCAUGUGUCUUCAAAUAUCUAGACCUCAAAUUGUAUGGCUAAU